rnacentral:rRNA from 1 species
CCCCAGUAGCGGCGAGCGAAAAGGGACCAGCCCAAAGCCGAAUCCCGCGUCCCCUGGGCGACGGGAAAUGUGGCGUAUGGGAGACGGAACUUUCCGCGCUUUGAGGGUGGCUCAAGUCCCCAUGAACGGGGCUACGACCGGAGCGGGUGUGAGUCCCGUACAGUCGCCCUUCUCGCGCGGAGCCUCCGUUUUCCCGGGAGUCGGGUUGCUUGAAAGUGCAGCCCAAAGUGGGUGGUAUGCUCCACCUAAGGCUAAAUAUCCCCGAGAGACCGAUAGCAAAAAAGUACCGUGAGGGAAAGUUGAAAAGAACUUUGAAGRCGCUUAGAGGUAAACGGGUGGGCCCUCGAAGUCUGAGGGCGGAUCGGUUCAGUGGCGGGUUCCGCGGAGAGCACCGGUGGGUCUAGGCGAACGAGCCGCCCGGCCCUACGGUGUCCCUAAAUCUCCGCGGGCCCCCGCGCACUUCGGUUCCGCCGGCAAGAGGCCGCGACCGGUUGGUCGAGGGUCGGAAGGACGGCCUGGGGGAAAGGUGGCCUGCCGCGCCUCGGCGCGGCGGGUGUUACAUCCCCCGGCGCAGGUAUAGCCGAUCUUCGCACCGACUCGGGACGAGAGAGAACCUCGCGCUGCGCUCCCUCCGAACGGAGCGUCCCCCGGCGAGCCCGACGUUCGACCCGGCGGUCUUUCACCCUCCGGGUGGGCCGCUUAGGGAAGGCGGCGGGAGCGUCGACGGGGCGCCGCGGGAACACAAGCCAGAGGUCGGCGGUCAGUAGA